GGGACCCCUCAUCCAGGCAGACAGCACAGAAUCUGAAAAUCUGCCUAUCAAAAGCAUCAUUCAAGCCACAAGGCUCUUCUGUUCCCGGUAAAAGGCAGGCAGGAAAAGAGGAGACAAAGAAAAACGUUUAUGAUCUGAAGAUAUGGCCCAAAUCACCAACCACGCAAUUUGUUUUCUGAGGAAAGGAAAGACCUGGUGCAACUUUAUACAAAGAGCCCAUCAUUCAUCCUUGAUCGGGGAUAUUUUCUCCUCCC
rnacentral:lncRNA from 1 species